GGGAGAAAUUUUACUGUGUUAUUUCUAUUAAAGGAAAACAUUUACUCUAUUGACAUGGCUAUACUGGCAUAACACUGCUACUAUGGGUAGCUGGUGCAUACUAUAUUUAAAAAGGAUAUUUUCCAGGGAAAAUCAUAUCUGUCUUAACAACCACCCGUUAGUUAUCUGAUUGAGAAGGUCCUAGGCAAUAUUACUUGGGGAAGUUGAAUGGCUUGCAGAAAUCAUGAAGCAGACCAGUAGCAAAAAAAGAAAUAGCACCUCACAAGCCUCAGUGUAGGCUUGAGGUCUCCUGUGCAAGGUUUGAUUGUUGCAGUUGUGCUGGUAUAGUUCACAUGGGACACAUGUUAUAGAAUGUUUUACUGCAAGAGCACCUUUGCUUACUAAGUUUUCUAUGCCUAACACACAGGUUCUACCAGGCUUCCCCAGUUCCACUCAGAGAACAGCAAGUCCUGAAAUGUUUGUGGCAGGGAAUGUCAGAAACUGACAUUUGACUAUGAAGUGAGUUGCACUUAUUCUUGUCUUGAUAUUAAAAUGGUCACUGCAGUUGGAUGUAUGCACAACCCAAUCAAGAAAUGUUUCUGUGGACUUAGGUGUUUUUUUUCUUUUCAGUCCUCUUCUGCUGCAAGGGUUGGGCUAUGCGAGAAAUUCAGUAAUUGUUCUUCAGUUCUGCCGUGCUCUGCUCCGUGACUCACUGUACGUCAAAAUUUUCUGUCAGCUGUAGCUAUGGGAAUUACCAUGGUUCCUUGAAAUCCUUUUAGAAACAAGACAGUCAUCCCAUGAAACCUUUACCGAAAUCAAGUUUAUUUAUAUCUUUUCUAUUUUUGCCUUUGAGAGUGAUUUUUUUUUUUUCCCUCUCAACAUUGUUACAUUUUCCAUCAGUUUUAUGGCCUUCUGACAAAUCACUGACCUAAAACCACACUGUUUGCCCCCUGAUUUCAUGCCUCAUUAUGUAUUUGGAGAGAAAAUGGUUCAGUUGUCUGCAAUUGUUAGGCCUGUUAGCAGCUACCCGCAACUACUGUGAAUAGUCCCGGUCUAAACCUAGUAGUUUUUGACUUGCAGAAAUGAGUGUAAACCCAUCACAUAUUGUAUUAGGCUGUGCUUUAUAGAAGUAUUCAGACAAUCAAAUUUUGGAUGCUUUGUCCUCUGUCGUUGUUGUUUUGAAAGAUAAACAGGGAAAGACUUUGCUAAAUGAUGAAAGGAAAGUGUUUCCCACCCCGAAUAAAAACCACAGUAAAACCUGUUCAACCUGAGCCCACUUUGUGGAUGUACUUUGGAUUAGCAAAGCCAAACCAAGGCUAGUGCUCAUUAUGCUUGAGCUAAGCAGUGUAUGAGUCGGUCUACAAUUUAUCUAGUGUUGCACAGUAUAUUAGGAGUUGCAGCAAGUUUUCUUUAUAGAUUUUAUUGAAUCCAGGUAACAUAAGAGGACACCUCAGCUUCCAGAGGAAGUGAAUGUAAGUUAAUGCUAGCAGGUGUGCAGACAGAAGAAAGUGUAACUAAUCCUAAAGGUGACCUAGAAGAAGUUCUUAGUUUUGACAGCAAUUAUAAGCUUUGGUUUCAAAAAUUAAAUCUUUGCAUUUUACGCCUUUAUUGAGAGUUGAAAUACAGGGGAGGUGAUACCAUGGAGCACACAAUUAAAAUUUCUUUGUGAAGUUCAGUGACAUUGUGUACUUCAUUGAGACUUCUUGUUUCUCUAGGUUUUUAGUGCCAUUCCAGUGCCAGCAUGGUGGCUGAGGGGAAGGGGGAUGUCCUGUGUGUCCCCAAAGUGUUGAGGGGAGGCUCCAAGCGUGUGUCCAGUCCCAGGUUCCCAGGAGCAACUGGAGCCUGCUCCAGGAUCAGCGGUGAGUUGCUUUGAGUGUCCAGGGUACAUUUUAUUCUGUAUCUCAACACCCUUUGGAAUAUUUUCAAACAGCUUCUUGAGGCAGCUCAUACUAUCAGCUGGCUUUACUUCUUCAUGUCAUAACAUUCUUCUCUUUCCAGCCAGCCUCAAAUGUUCUUUUAAAGUUUUUCCCCUGGGUAGGUUGAGUACCAGCUUCACCAUAAUGGUGUGCUGUCAUUUUAUCUGUAAUGGUUUUCUCAUGUCUGUCUCUCACAGCAUGUUAGUCUGCUGGUUUGAUUCUGACAAAAUUCCACAUUUCCCCAGUAAUAUUUCUGAUAUAAGCAUUCCCUGUCCUCUAAGGAAUCUUUGUUGCUAUCAGAGGUCAAAGGUUUUGUUUCUUGUGUCCGUAAUAUGAAUUUGCUAUGAUCUAGAACCAUUCUUACAGUGAAAAAUAAAUUAUUCACCAUUUAAAUAAAUUUUUGUUUGGAAAGCCCAUGGUUUCCCUGAACUUUAUAGUUGGCAAAUUGUUAGGAGUUUUUGCUUCUAUUUCUUGCUUUGGAUCAGCUCAGUGCAUUUCUCAGCUGAUUGAAUUGCUUUGUACAUCCUUGUCAGUACUCAUUUUUCAUUGUCAGGGCACUGUGUUGAUUCUCUGUUUAUGUAGUUCCAUCAGUGUUUCUGUGUGCCUGAGAAUAGAAUAUUGUUUUAGUCACUAGCAAGGUAUUUAUCCUCAUUUUUUUUUUUGGCAUUGAGACAUUUUAAAAAUUCAGUGAGAUGUUUUUGUAGUUGCUGAGCCAUCCAGCCUCCUCCAAAUCUGGUUGCGUUAGGAGGCAUGACACACUUUUGCACAGCUGAUAAAAAUGUGCUCAGUGGUGACUGAAAUCCCAGAGAAGUCAGGCUUUCACCACGUCGUGGGGUUCAUUUUGAUUCUGACAUUUUCUUCAAGCAGUUCUGAAGUGCAAAGAACAGUUCUGUUACUGGGAGUGAUACCAUUUUAUCCAGACUCCAGGUACUCAUUCCUUAACAGGAACAAAAAGAUUCCCAUUAUCUGAUUGUCCAGCUGAUGUCUAGUCAUCUGGACAUGAUUUCCAGCUGUGAGACAAUUGCUAACUGCUUUGAACACAUCUCCUUGUACUUUUUCAGUUGUUAUUUUCCAAGGAGAAACUGCCUUUUUCUCUCACAAUUUUAGUGUUUUAAUUUUAGUUUUAAAAUAUUCAUAAUUGUGUAGUGACACUUAUCUUUCAGAUAUUUGAAAUUCAGAUAAUCCUUUCAGAACAUGUUUGUUUUUUAUGACUUUAUUGCCCUCCAGCUGUAGGAGACAAACAUUUGGGCCAUUUUUUUAUGUUGAAUUCAUGUUAUUUUAAAUACAUAAACAUACCACUGGAACAGUUCUUUAAUUAUUCACUUUAAUAGGCUGUGACCAAAGUGUUGUUUUCCUUUCAUGUAAUUUCCUUUUCUUUUCUGUAAUCUCAGUGUUUAUGGUGGUUUUUAUUGCCUUUUUUUCCCCUUUAUUUUGAGGCCUAUGCAUAUUACUUUUUUCCAGCCUCUUUGCAGUACAAUGCUAUAAUGAGUGGAAGAAUUCUAAAAUUUUAAGAGUCUCCAUGACUCUUACUCUUGAUGACAAACAUUCAUUUACUAUCUGUGGAUUUUGGAAUAUUAGGAAGUCUUUGGAGAAGUCCUUAGUGUCUCAAAAUUCAUUAGCUUUGUAUGAGUGUCUGAUUGUCCAAUUUUGGCAGCCAUGAGCCCCACUUAUGGUCUGCAACUUGCAUGUGUCAAGUGCUGCAUAAAAAAAAAAAAAA
ensembl:lncRNA